rnacentral:rRNA from 1 species
UACAGAGGUCUCAAGCGUUGUUCGGAUUCAUUGGGCGUAAAGGGUGCGUAGGUGGCGAGGCAAGUCAGAUGUGAAAUCCCGGGGCUCAACCCCGGAACUGCAUUUGAAACUGCCUUGCUCGAGUACUGGAGAGGAGACUGGAAUUUACGGUGUAGCAGUGAAAUGCGUAGAUAUCGUAAGGAAGACCAGUGGCGAAGGCGAGUCUCUGGACAGUUACUGACACUGAGGCAGCGAAGGCCAGGGGAGCAAACGGG